AGGACCGUCAUUUUGUGGAGCGACCCCAGGGUUAAAGGUCAGCCGGCCACUUUCCCAUCGGCCCGAUCAGCUACCAGGAACAGAGAGAAGCGGCGGGGAGGGGGGUCGUUUUUAAGGCCCGAGGAGACAUAUUCCCUUUAAAACACCUCAUACUGCCUCCUAGUUUGGUGUUUAUUUUAUAAAUUACAAGGUAUCCCUCCGCAGCGGCAGCGUAGUUCCUCCAUCCGCCCUACUGUCGUUGCUAAGCAACACAACGAGAGACAGGAUGCAGGGCUACGGGGAAUUGCCGGCUCGUGUCCAGGCGGCUGUUGCCGCGGUGACUGGUGUGAAGAUAAUAGCAGUUAAUGAGAUAUUAACCCACGUAAGAAAGAAGAAGACGAGGACGGGCGAGCGAGCCGGACUAAAGAGGACAGGAUCGGGCUGCGUCUGACCCGGACGGAUCGAUGCCGCGGCGGUGUUCAGGCGCCGUAACGAGCAGACCGACCCGCCGCCGCCGCCUCUGGAUCUGACGAGCACCAUUUUGCCAUGUUGAUGUGCUUUGGAGGAGGUCAGAGGUCAGUUCGCCUCCGUUACACACCUGACUUGUCAAGCGAGGAGAUGACAGCGAUGGAGCUCAGGGGCGGCUCUUCUUCACGGGUUUAUGACGGAAAUGUUUUGUGAAAGAGGCCGGAGACUCAAACAUUCCCAAAUGGACACAGAUCUGGACUGGAUUCUGUGUCGUCCUGCUGAAAUAACCACAGAGAAGAGCCUAGCGAUAAAUCAAUUAUAUUUGUUAAAUCCUCAAAAACACAAAGUUUGAUUAAUCUUUGAAAAAUCUCAAUAUUUUUCACCAAUGCGCUCCUUGUUGGAGUGAUGUCUACACGCCCAGAGCGGCCAUUUUGUUUUUGGAGUGUGUUUUACUGCUUCU